GUCCGGAGGAUAAUCAGUUGAGAUGGUGUGUGUGCGUCCUUGAGAACUGAACAAUGACAGCUGUGUAGAGCUUCCUGAACAUUACCAGUGGGCCUGAGAGCCUGGUUAUGUCGCUACAGUUUCUGCUAUGGUACAAGCAGCCGUGACCUUGCUGAAUGAAGUGCACUCUCUCCUCAGGAGGGGAGGGGUGUACACUCCAGGAGCUGCCUUCUAUAAAACUAGUCUCAUCGACCGCCUCCAUAACCACAGCAUCAAGUUUUCAGUCAGAGGCUACCAAUAACGCUUUAUCACUGUGUAGGGCACGCCAGCUUCCAGUUACAGGAUGUCAGUGCUGCUCAACUUGUAUAGAUCUUCUGUGCUGCCGGGUGGAAAUUUUGUAGACAGAUUCAGAUACACUUAAUAGUUUUUUUAUUAAACUGCUUUAAGUUGCUCUGA